CCUACGGGAGGCAGCAGUAAGGAAUAUUGGUCAAUGGACGCAAGUCUGAACCAGCCAUGCCGCGUGAAGGAUUAAGGCCCUCUGGGUUGUAAACUUCUUUUAUAGGGGACGAAAAAAGGGCAUUCUUGCUCACUUGACGGUACCCUAGGAAUAAGCACCGGCUAACUCCGUGCCAGCAGCCGCGGUAAUACGGAGGGUGCAAGCGUUAUCCGGAUUUACUGGGUUUAAAGGGUGCGUAGGUGGGUUGGUAAGUCAGUGGUGAAAUCUUCGAGCUUAACUCGGAAACUGCCAUUGAUACUAUCAAUCUUGAAUCAUCUAGAGGUAAGCGGAAUAUGUCAUGUAGCGGUGAAAUGCUUAGAUAUGACAUAGAACACCAAUUGCGAAGGCAGCUUACUAUGGAUGCAUUGACACUGAGGCACGAAAGCGUGGGGAUCAAACAGGAUUAGAUACCCUGGUAGUCCACGCCCUAAACGAUGGAUACUCGACAUUUGUGAUAUACAAUAAGUGUCUGAGCGAAAGCAUUAAGUAUCCCACCUGGGAAGUACGACCGCAAGGUUGAAACUCAAAGGAAUUGAGGCUGAGACGAGCGACGACGACGACGAGGGAGGAGG
rnacentral:rRNA from 1 species